rnacentral:piRNA from 1 species
UGCUCUCUGAAACACCCUGGAGGAAUUCC